GGGUUGUGAGGUUAAGCGACUAAGCGUACACGGUGGAUGCCCUGGCAGUCAGAGGCGAUGAAGGGCGUGCUAAUCUGCGAUAAGCGCCGGUAAGGUGAUAUGAACCGUUAUAACCGGCGAUACCCGAAUGGGGAAACCCAGUGUGAUUCGUCACACUAUCAUUAACUGAAUCCAUAGGUUAAUGAGGCGAACCGGGGGAACUGAAACAUCUAAGUACCCCGAGGAAAAGAAAUCAACCGAGAUUCCCCCAGUAGCGGCGAGCGAACGGGGAGGAGCCCAGAGCCUGAAUCAGCAUGUGUGUUAGUGGAAGCGUCUGGAAAGGCGCGCGAUACAGGGUGACAGCCCCGUACACAAAAGCGCAUGUGCUGUGAGCUCGAUGAGUAGGGCGGGACACGUGGUAUCCUGUCUGAAUAUGGGGGGACCAUCCUCCAAGGCUAAAUACUCCUGACUGACCGAUAGUGAACCAGUACCGUGAGGGAAAGGCGAAAAGAACCCCGGCGAGGGGAGUGAAAAAGAACCUGAAACCGUGUACGUACAAGCAGUGGGAGCACCCUUUGGGUGUGACUGCGUACCUUUUGUAUAAUGGGUCAGCGACUUAUAUUCUGUA
rnacentral:rRNA from 1 species